AUGCUUGUUUUGGCAGCAUAUAUACCAGAAUUGGAAUAUAAUACAGCCAAGAUUAACAUGGCCCUGAGCAAGGGCAACAAGCAAAUCUGUGAAGUGUUUUUUAUUUGU